GAUUCUUCGGAAUGAACUUAAGUGGAUUAGUGGCGAACGGGUGAGUAACACGUGAGUAACCUGCCUUACACAAGGGGAUAGCCUCUGGAAACGGAGAAUAAUACCCUAUAAAGUCUAAUCAGCCCAUGCUGGAAAGACCAAAGAUUUAUCGGUGUAAGAUGGACUCGCGUCUGAUUAGCUAGUUGGUGAGAUAAAAGCUCACCAAGGCGACGAUCAGUAGCCGGCUUGAGAGAGUGUACGGCCACAUUGGGACUGAGACACGGCCCAAACUCCUACGGGAGCGCACCAGUGGGGAAUUUUGCACAAUGGGGGAAACCCUGAUGCAGCGACGCCGCGUGAUUUAGAAGGCCUUCGGGUUGUAAAAAUCUUUUUUACGGGAUGAAAAUGACAGUACCGUAAGAAUAAGGUCCGGCUAAAUACGUGCCAGCAGCCGCGGUAAUACGUAUGGACCGAGCGUUGUCCGGAAUCAUUGGGCGUAAAGGGUACGUAGGCGGCCUAGUAAGUUAGAAGUUAAAGAAUAUAGCUCAACUAUAUAAAGCUUUUAAAACUGCUAGGCUUGAGAGAUGGAAGGGAAAGUGGAAUUCCUAGUGUAGCGGUGAAAUGCGCAGAUAUUAGGAAGAAUACCGGUGGCGAAGGCGACUUUCUGGUCAUCAUCUGACGCUGAGGUACGAAAGCGUGGGUAGCAAACAGGAUUAGAUACCCUGGUAGUCCACGCUGUAAACGAUGAGUGUUAGGUUCUUGGAAUAAUCUGGGAGCCGCAGCUAACGCAUUAAACACUCCGCCUGGGGAGUACCACGCAAGU
rnacentral:rRNA from 1 species